GGAGCGGCGGGGCGGGGCCUGGCGGCAGAACGGCCACGUGCGUCAGGGGGAAGCAGGAAGUGACUGCCGGAGUGGAGCCGUCGGAGCGAGCUGAGGGGGGGCUGAUGGAAGUGGAGUGGGGGCUGGAGAGGGUACCCCACUAUAUCCAUCAUGCUGCAAGGCCACAGCACUGUGUUCCAGGCCUUGCUGGGGACCUUCUUCACCUGGGGGAUGACGGCAGCUGGGGCAGCCCUCGUGUUCGUAUUCUCUAGUGGACAGAGGCGGAUCUUGGAUGGAAGCCUUGGUUUUGCCCCAGGGGCAAUCCUUCACAUGGCUGCUGAAGAAGUGACCAUUACAGUUCGUCUCAUUCGUUCAUUUGAGCACCGCAAUUUCAAACCUGUAGUGUAUCAUGGAGUUAAUUUGGACCAAACUGUAAAGGAAUUAAUAGUAUUUCUAAAGCAAGAUAUCCCUCUGAGGACCAACCUGCCACCACCAUUCAGAAAUUAUAAGUAUGAUAAACUAAAGAUUAUUCAUCAAGCACAUAAAUCAAAGACAAAUGAACUUGUGUUGAGUUUGGAAGAUGACGACAGGCUCCUGCUGAAAGAAGACAGCACUCUGAAAGCUGCAGGAAUCGCCAGCGAAACUGAGAUUGCAUUCUUUUGUGAAGAAGAUUAUAAGAACUACAAAGCUAAUCCCAUUUCAUCCUGGUGACAGUGUCUUGGGAGCUUCUGUUCUGCUGUGUACCUGUAGUAAGCUCUUUAUUCCACGAAACAAAAGGAUGCAUACCUCAUCCAUGACACUAAUUACCUUGGAAGGAGACAGUGAUUGGGAGGCAAAGGCAAACGUGACGAGGAGGAAAGCGCCUGGGCAUUGAAGUCAGACAGCCUUGGGGUUGAAGGAUGCACAGUGCUGCCGGUGCGGAGUCCUGACCUCGGGCGAGGUGCCCAGCUCCCAAGGGCUCAGUUUCUCACUCUGUUAAAAGGGAUGAUAACAAUGACUACCCGGAACUGCUCUGAGCCUUCAAUAAAAUGACCUAGCCAGGUGCCCAGUACAGAUAUACUCUGUUUGGGACAGAAUUUCUGUCACAUUGAUAUUUCGCUAAGUAAGUAUAUUAAUCUCAUCACACAAAAUUCAGACAUGAAUAUGACAUUAUACCCCGCAUUACAUGUUCACAGUGGCUCUGGGGCUUUUCCUGUGAGGCAGGCACAGCCUGCUGCUUGCCAGGUCUGCCUCAUCUGCCUGUCACAGCCAGCAGUGUUCUCCAGACCCAGGAAGGACUCACUGUGGCUUACAAGAAUCUUCCUGACUUGCAGUACCUUAUCCCUGCAUGCAGGUAACCCAGAGCACAUUACCUGUCCGACAUUUCUCUCAUGUUGGAUUUUCUUCUUACUUCUUCUUACUUUCCGCCUUUCCCAAUUAAAGCUAACAGUCAUUUUAAAUAUUCUUUUUCAUGAGAAUAAGGUAAUUCAUUUAUUCUCCGGGCAUACACUGCUUAAACCAGGGUAAAGUGGUAGAAUGAAUGGAGGUAGAAGUUGCCCAAAUAAAUACAAUCUUUGACAAGAAAAGUCUUGCAGAGGCAGGUUUUGUAGUUUAAGCUUCCUCGCAGCACUGGGUGACGAAUGCCCAGCCCUUGGUCUAUAGAUGGUGUGGGGCCACGCCUCCUCAGUGGGGCCCCUACCUGCUCUUUAGCCAAGACCCAAGCUGGGGUCUAGAAAGCAGGUGUAGUGGAGGGAAAAGGGCUCUGGGCUCACCUGUAUCUACCAAGCUUCGGCCACCUGGUGGCAGCAGAGUGCUGAAGCCUGGAGAUGACUGCGGAGAUGUUGAGUCAUUUGUCCUGACCAUGCUUAAUGAGUAGGUUUGUCCAUCUUCAAGUCAACCUUGGAGUCCUUUGGCUUUAGCUGAAAGUCAAAGCCUUCGGCUUGUAAAAAGUGUGGUAUAUUAUCCUAGUUCUCAAAAGUACUCUCCACAUUGUGCCUGCCUAAAACGUGGAUUUCUUUAAAAAGUCAGUGCCUAAUUAUUUCAAAGCCAGAAUCUCAUUUAUUCAGUUGUACCUAUAUCAUCUUAUUUCUAGAAUACCAAUGUGUUUAUGCUUCAGGGAAUGCCUCUGCUUCUUUGAGGAGGAUCAUUGUUUAAAGUCCUGAAGCCCAACCUUCUUCCUUCCCUGUCAUCCUCAGCAGAUGGCACCAUUCUUCACAAAGCAUACAGAAGGGUCUGCCACACUCAUGUCAUCAAAGUUAAAACCCUCACUGGCAUCUCACCUUUCUCCUUUGCUCCUAAGUUGUAAUGGACAAGCUCUCCCACUGUGUACCUCAUGUUCUGGGCCCCUGCUUCAUGCCCAUUCUUUGUCCCUCUGUCAUGGUUUGGAUAUGCUAAGUUCUCCAAAGGCUCCCUGUGCUGAAGAUUUGGCUGCUCAUGGACUUGUGCAAAGUGAUUAGAGCCUGAGGGCUCUGACUUUAGCAGCAGAUGGGUCUGCUGAUGAAACCAUAAUCUGAUGGCAUUAUGGGAGGCUUUGGAAAGAGGAGAUGGGUCUGGUUCAGGGAGUGGAUUCUUUGGGCUACAUCUAGUCCCUAUCCCCUUCCUCUUGGCUCUCACCCUCUCUGCUUCCUAGCUGCCGUGAAGUGAGCAGCUUUCCUCUGCCAUGCCUUUUUCUUUUUCUGAUGCUUCCUCUCCAGCAUGAGAGUAAGGGAGGCUGUGAAUCAGGGCCUGAAACUACUGCAACUGUGGGUGGAAAGAAACCUUUCUGCCUUUACGUUGAUUUUCUCGGGUUUUUUGUCACGGAGAUGAAAAAUUGACUAACAUGGUCUUUUCUGUGUUAUGCCCCCAUCUACUACUGUUCAUUGUAUUCUUUUCUAGAAACACUUAAAACACAUUCAGACCAGAGCCAGGAGAGAAUAGUCCACCUUUUUUUUGGCUCCCCCUGCCCCUUCCAGUUACUACUCUCCUGUUGUCCUCUCCUGUCUCAAAAGAGUUGCCCCAAAUUCCUGUCUCCGUCUCUUCUUGCUCAGCUCCAGUCUGGAUUUUACCCCCACCAUGACACUGACUUUCUCACCAUUAACUUCCCAUGUUUCCAGAUGGACUCAGCACUUCUAGUUUUUGCUCUACUUCUAUAUAACUUCCAGCCUAGUUUCACACACUUACAGUCAGCACAUACAGAGCUUUAGCCUUUAUCCCAAACCAUCAGUUAUAAAGCAAGAGAGCUGUAUUUAUCAGCUAUCACUGUGAUGAGAUACCUGAAAUAGUCAAUAAGAAGGAAAGGGUUAUUUUGACUCAGAGUUUAAAUGGUUGUAGUUCGCUCUGUUGAUUUGGGGCCAGCGUUGAGGGAGAACAUCAUGUAGAUCAUGGUGGGAGCAUGUGGGAGAGGAAAGCUGCACCUGACGGCAGCUGGAGGGAGGAAGACAGCUGUUCACUAGGCUGGUUAAUGUUUACUUGAAUAUUACUGUAUCUAUCUUAAAAUCAACUUCGUGCAAGAUUAUUAUUUAAUAUGUUAUUAUUACUAUUACAUAUGUUAAUAUAAAUAAUCUAUUUUUACUGUUUUGGUUAAGACUGAAAACAGGUAAAUUUGAAUUUUAUUUAAGAUGAAUAAACAGUGACUUUUAAUAUAUUUGUUGUUGUUGCUGGUCUGAGGGGACUGAGGAUUUUGGCUCCAUUGGUGCCAGCUUUCUCUUGAUCCAGACACCAGGAAGUGAUCCAGCCACAAAAUACUGCUCUUCCAAGGGCCAACUCCAGUGCUUUUGAAAAACAUUCAACUUUCCAAGUAACUGACCAGUUAACUCCUGACGAGUUGUUUUGGUCAUUCCCUAGUUCUUACAUGAGCUGAGUAGUGGGUAUUUUCCAUCAAUUUUAUUAUUGUUUGUGAGCUUCAUGCUUCUAGCAUUAAGUGUGGGAGGACAGAGAACAGAAAAGCAAACCUUAAAGCACAAGAUUUUUUUCACUCUGAACAUUGUUUUUUUCCAGUUAUUUCCUGGCCACAGGUCUUUCUAUGGAAAGUUCUUACAAUGGACCCAACCAUGGCAAAGCCUUCUUUUGGUUACUGUUCUCUAAAAAUAGUUUUUAGCCACUAGAGUGCCAUAGGUUUCAUUUCCCUCCAUCCAACCAAGAGCAUGUGGUGGAAAACUUGGCUGCAAUGGCAGGGAAGUGGUCUACUGAUGGCCCAGGGCUGCAUCCCAGGGUGUUGUACAUGUGUCACACAGUGCGAGGCUAUGUGCCUGAGGCCAGUGUCCUUUUCACUCUACCCUUCAUGGGAACAGCUCAGUGCACAAGAAUACUCCAUCAGGGACACCAGCGGAUGGGGUCAUGAGGAAGGGGAGGAGGUCAAGAUGUGUAUGCACUGGUUUGUGUGCCACAGACUACAGCAGAAGAAACAAAGGAGCCAGUGGAGUUCUGCUUCCUCAGAGUGUCCAAGGGUCAUCACCGUUAGUGUCCCCAGGAGCUGGUCAGUGAUAAACAAUCCAGGGCCUCCUUCUAGACCCAGAGCAUGUACUUGAACCACACUGUCAUGAGACUCAGAGGCACAUCCUGAUGUGAGGAGCACGACUGUUUUUAACUGCUCAGCGUCAGCUUUCAGAGAACUCCAGAAGCCUCCUCACUGGCCAGGGCCACUCCUGUUAUUUCCAACUCAGAGUGAGUCUCCUGACUCUGCCCAUUCCCCCCACUAGCCUAUCGCUGUGGUCUGCGUGCCUGCUCUUCCUCAGUGGCUGGACCUAGCAUAGAUCAUUUCCUACCACUUUGUGUGCUACUCAACUGAGAGCUGGCUCCAUCAGAAGGCAAGAAACCCUCAUGCACAUGAUCCCUGCACCAUAAAUAAAAGCCUAAAAGUUAUGGCAGGUUAAGUGUUUAUUUUUGGACAAGUUCUACAAGGUAAGAAUAAAACACUUGGAUUCUUUCAAUAGCAUAGAUUUUACAAGCCAACUUCAGACUGUGGCAUUUAGGAUUCCCAGAGUAUGUGGGUUGAGGCACUUUUGUACCCAGAGGCAAGUAGACUUUGCCAGGCUUACCGAGGGGCUGUCUUAAGGAUGCUACUGCCAGUUGCCUGGUGAGGUAGGGAAGAGCCACGGUUAGAGCUAAACACGCGGCCCACCUGCCUUUCAUAAGUGGAUUGUCUGGCUGGCACAUGACAGGUCCUCUGCUCCAUCCAUUCCCUCCUGCCCUGAUGAGCACCUUCAGCAGGUGGUGGGUAGGGAAGGGAGGAAGUACCCUGGCCUUUGCUCUGUCAGCAUCUUUGGGAUAAGGAACCACCCCUGGGCAGGUGAGGCUGGAGAAGAAAGGUAGCCAACACCCACUGGGGUUGGGAUCACGUGUGUGUGUGUGUGUGUGUGUGUGUGUGUGUGUGUGUGUGUGUGUUUCCAUUAAUGGGAAUGGGAAUCCAUGGGCCAUCAUUAUGCCAAGCAGUGCUGAAGUAUCCAACUCCCUUCUUCCUUUCAGUGAAAGUUGAUGCUCUCAUCAGGGCCAAUUUAUGCCUCAAGAUAAAUUCCUGCCACCCAGCUGGAAGUUGCAGCUGGAAACACCUGUAGGAAGUGGAUGGCCUUUCCCCAUCAGCCCUGGCCUAAUGAAAGGCCCUGCACUGGGGCUUCCUCCUUUCUCAGAAGGAGCCUGAUGUUCUCAGGAGACAUGAGUACAUGGAAUGUCCCAGGGUCACAUGGCACCUCCGCUUCCCCACUCUCUGGCUGGCCUUCACUGGCCCAGCUCCCUGUUCUAUCAGAGGGUGCCUCCAUAGGACCUGUGUAUGCACAGAUGAAUUUUUGGUAGCAGGUCCCCUCUGGCCCUGUGGGGGUUUAGGAAUCUUGGGCUGAUGAUAGCUGCUUCUCUACUUUCAAUGUGAAUCAUUGACGGGGGCAUGGGACCAAGGACAGAUGUCCUAUGGCCCCUGGUUGUGGUGUGGCAGCAAUGUUUUCCAUUCGUAUCUUUGGCAGAAAAGUCCCUCCUAGCGUUUUGAGAUGCACUAUGGCAGCCUCCCCUUCAUCCAUCCUUAUUCAAGAUCCCCACUGGUGGCCUGAAACCAUCAGUAGUACUGAACCCUGAAUGUAUAUGCUUUAGUUUUCGUAAACAUACAGAUCUGUAACAAGGGUUAAUUUAAUAAGAGAGUAGUAACUAGUAAAAUAGAACAGUUGUAGCAAUAUAUGAUAAUAAAAUACGUGGAACGUGGUGUCUCUCUUAAAAGAGUCAGGACAAAUAUUUUCAAGACUGCAGUUGAUUUUGGGUAACUGAAGCCGAGGAAGGCAAACCUAGAUAAGGGGAGACUGCUGUAUUCCCAUGGGGAGAAGCUUGGAGCUUGUUGUUUUCCGAAUGGUCUGAGGCAGCACAGGACACCUGCAGGGGUCCCUGUUACCCUGUGAUCUUUCCAAGGGCUAACCUAGUGAAGACAGUCCUCAGCAAGCAGGGGUGCAGCUGCAAGGCCCAGUGAGUGUGGUGGGGCCCUCCCCGGGCUGAUGGGGAAGGGGCCUUCUCCUGCCUUCUGAGAGGAGUAACGGAAAAGGUGAGAAGGCACAGUGGCUCGAGCAGUUCUCACCACCAGCUUAAUGGAGGGACAGCAAUUACACUUGUUCUCAAAAGCAGCUUCAUUAGUGGCUCGGCAAGGAGGUGAUUUCACACCCUCACAGGAGGACCAUUUGCAGGCUGCAUGGUGAUUCCUGACUUUUAAGGGGGAAAGAAAAUCUCCCCAGCUCAGUGAAGAUCAGGUGAAACAGCUUCAGGCCGUAACUCCUAUCUGGGAGGGAACUCUACCUGGAAAAAGCCCAGCCUUUAGUGGUUCCGGGCACAGACCAGGCUCACCCCUAAUUCCCUCUCCACUCAGCCUCCUGCUGCCUCAGGGGGCCAGGAGAACCUGUGCACUGGCCUCUCUUCAGCCCCAGGGUCCUGGUGAGCUGCAGGCAGAGCUGUUAUCUUCCUCACCACUUAGUCACAAGAUGCUGUGGGCGUCUUGAGCUUUGGGAAAGUAGCCAAAGGGAAGGGGAGGAGGUGGAUAAAGGACGGUACUCACCAAGGUCCUCAAGUCUGUUCUUGCAAAAGGUGUGUAUAUAUCUCUGCAAAGGUCACAAUAGUGUGCACUGCUGCCUGACAUCUGGCUUUUAAAUCCACAAGUUGAAAUCUCAGGCACCCAACUUUUAGCUAAGUAAGUAUAACCUCAAGUUCUGCUUUAUAUAUUAUAUAUAUGAAAUACAUGUACAUGCAAAUCGUACGCACGCAUGUGUCAUUCUGAAUAUUAAUGGACACAUUUUCCUAACAGGAAGUCCCACCUGGAACCACCCAUGUGCACAUUUACUCUGCUCUGCACCAUCCAGAAAAGAAAACUGUGACUUGGCUGAGCCUCCUGCACCUGGGUUAAUGCACUGGGGGCAGGCACCUUACACGUGGCUUGUUUUUUCAGUUAGGAUGGAGUCAUUCGGCAGCAUGAACUUGACUGCGCUGUCUUUCUCCCACCCUCUUCGGAUCUUGGCAAGUCUGAGGCGGAAGCAGCGCAGCAGAAACAGGCCCUUGGCCAGGAUGACGACACAGGGCACCAGCAGCGUGAGUGUGAAGGUGGGCGGCAGGUAGAACUUGUAUCGGCUCUCCUCAAAGGCACGGGUCCAGCCGUAGGUGAGCGUGUGCAGUGUGCUCAGCACCAGGGCCACAAAGCCCAGCGUGGACUGCGGAGGAAAAGACAGCUGGAGUGAGGGGAGGGGAGGUCAGGCAGGGGCUCCUGCCACCUGGGUGAGGGGCACAGGAGUGAUUCGGAUUCGAACCCCAGUCCUACCAUUCUCUCUGUUCAAGAUCUUAUAGUUGCUUCCAGAACUCUCAGAGCCUCACAAUCCCUAACAGAAAAAUGAGAAUCAUGUUUCUAUACUGAAGGUGCAUAAGGAAAUUUAUUCUUGCGCAUUAAAGAGGGACGCUUUUUCCCCAGCGGCUCUCGUGGCUGUUGGAUGGGUUAAGAUGGGAUUUUGCUCAAAGAGUUUAAAAGCAUUUUACUAACUUUGUGUAUACUUUAAUGUAUAUUAAAGUAACAGAUAUCUGCUGAUAUAUCCAAGUCACAAUUUCACAGGUACUGGGUGGCCUGUUAAGGUGGAAGAAAAAAGGAAAUUGAUUUUAAAUUGAGUUAAAGAGAAGUACAAAGUAAAUAAACUCACAGGUAAGUGGCUCCACAGAGAAGCCCACCAUACCUGGUGGCUGGUCUCUUCCCUGUAACCCUAAAUUAUAUGCACCCCAGGCAGGUGCAUAUCCCCCACCACCUGGUCUGUCCUCUGCCUGGAAGGGGAUGCAUGACUAUGGGGGGAAAGAGCACUAGCAACUCGGAGUGGAAAGAUCUGGGCCUCCUAAUGGUGGGGCUCCAUGUGCCUGAGAUAUAGUGUGGCUUUGGAGUCACUGCCUGAGAAGAGCAGCUCCUCCAUCGCUGUUCCAAGCCUUUGUACUGGGCUGCACUGUGAAAUACCCUGGAAGGGCUCCUCGGGAAACUCCAGCCUUUUUUGCCCAGGAGCAGCCUCAUGGACCACAAAAAGGAGAGGUAGAUUCUAUCGCUGGUGCUAGUUCUGACUGAUGUGACCUGAGGUGAGCCGCCGGAUCUGGCUCUGUGAGAAACAAAUGCUUCCUUUUAAAGCCAGCUUCAGAGAGUGCAGGGCCAAAGCAGAGGGCACUGGGCAUCUGGGCUGAAUGGGAGGGGAGGAGAGGCUCCAACAGCUUCAAGUCUAUUCUGUGAGCACUGGAGUUACUGAAGAUUCAGGGUGGGAGAGACCUGUGUUUAUGAUGUCACAAAUGAAAAUAACAGUGACCCAAAAAGCAAUGGACACUCCCACAUUUUCUCCAAGGAGACACUGCAAAGGUUUACUUUAAAUGCUGUGGUAAGCUGAUACCUCAGCAUGCUCUUUAUAGAUUGGCUUGGAUCGUUCCAGAAAGCCUAUAUUUGGGCCACCUACAUGGCUAGCAUAGUGUUAGCAUCAACCCAAGAGUCCAGCUGAGAGAGGCUGUCUCUUUGCACUCCCCUCAGAUACUUCUCUAAAUGGGGCUGGGUGGCUAGGAAUGUAGGUCAAUGUAGAGCACCUGCCUAGCAUAUGCAAGGCUCUGGAUUCAAUCAUCACCACUGCAAAAUUAAGUAAAAAUGAACGAAUGAAUAAAUGAAUGGAGUUGAUUCUGCAUUGUCUUAUUUAGGCUAUUUGCUGGAAAGGAGGGAAAAUUCUGUAGUACUUGCUCAUGUACAAACCCCAGGACCAUGAACUCUGGAGAAUGAAAGGAUACCAGUCAGAAGAAUCUCUUGUGAUACUUUUGUUAGACAUAAUAAUAAGCAUUUUCUACUGGUUAUACACUAUAAUUUCACUGACAGCCUUCCAGGUACAGUUUUUCCCCAAAUAAAAUACUCCAAUAAAAGAAGCUCUCUCAUUUAG